GCGGACAUAGCUCAGUUGGGAGAGCGUCAGACUGAAGUAAACUUCAAUCACUUAAUCUGAAGGUCGUGUGUUCAAUCCACACUGGCCGCA